CUAAGCCAUGCGAGUCCAGGGGCUCGCUUCUGCGAGCACCGGCGGACGGCUCAGUAACACGUGGACAACCUGCCCUCGGGAGGGGGAUAACCCCGGGAAACUGGGGCUAAACCCCCAUAGGUGAUGGAUACUGGAAUGUUCCAUCACCGAAAGUCCGCAAGGAGCCCGAGGAUGGGUCUGCGGCGGAUUAGGUAGUUGGUGGGGUAACGGCCCACCAAGCCUAAGAUCCGUACGGGCCAUGGGAGUGGGAGCCCGGAGAUGGACCCUGAGACAAGGGUCCAGGCCCUACGGGGCGCAGCAGGCGCGAAACCUCCGCAAUGCGGGAAACCGCGACGGGGUCAGCCGGAGUGCCGAUGCUUGCAUCGGCUGUCGGGGAGCCUAAAAAGCUCCCCAUAGCAAGGGCCGGGCAAGGCCGGUGGCAGCCGCCGCGGUAAUACCGGCGGCCCGAGUGGCGGCCACUAUUAUUGGGCUUAAAGCGUCCGUAGCCGGGUUGGUUAGUCUCCCGGGAAAUCUGGCCGCUUAACGGUCAGAAUUCCGGGAGAUACUGCCAGCCUAGGGACCGGGAGAGGCCGAGGGUAUUCCCGGAGUAGGGGUGAAAUCCUAUAAUCCCGGGAGGACCACCUGUGGCGAAGGCGCUCGGCUGGAACGGGUCCGACGGUGAGGGACGAAGGCCAGGGGAGCAAACCGGAUUAGAUACCCGGGUAGUCCUGGCUGUAAACGAUGCGGACUUUGUGUCGGACAAGCUAUGAGCUUGUCCGGUGCCGGAGGGAAACCGUUAAGUCCGCCGCCUGGGGAGUACGGCCGCAAGGCUGAAACUUAAAGGAAUUGGCGGGGGAGCACCACAACGGGUGGAGCCUGCGGUUUAAUUAGAUUCAACGCUGGGAAGCUUACCGGGGGAGACAGCGGGAUGAAGGUCGGGCCUAAG
rnacentral:rRNA from 1 species